CUUAAUGCAUUAGUCGGAAAUAUCUUGAUAGGUUCACAUAGCAAGAAGAUCAAAGACCAACUAUUUAGCGAAACCUUAUUAAAAGUCCGCGGCGAAUUAACACCCCAAGUUUUGCAACAUCGUCACAAUGAAGUGCGUUCUGGUACUUGCAGUAAUUGCCCUAUUCGCUGUGGCCUUUGUCGCAGCAGCCGACGAAAUGGAGAACUCGGAGACUGCACUUCAUCACCUGGUGGAACGAUUCGCCGAAGGCAUCAGAGAGCGGCGCCAGAGCGUGGGUGGCAACCAGAAUUUUGAGUUCGACAUGGAGAAAAUGAUCAAUUUGAUCAAGUCUUUGCAGAGCCAGGGUUGAGUGGUUACAAACUAGGAAAGGUUGUUAUCAUAAUUGAGUUUGCUGAGAAUAAAUAAAUGAUUAGAAACAAA